ACCUGCCCGAUCGUGGUGACACUGGGGACACCCGCGACCCCCGCGCCCGGUGCCCCCCCGGGGCUCCCCCCGCUGCCGUUCCCGCCGCCCCCGCCCUUCCUGCGCCCCCCGCCCCCCCCCGGGAGCGGCCCCGGGCCCCCCCCGCGGCUCUGAGCGCUCGGGCUGAGAAAUUCCUGAGGGAAAAGGAAAUUGCGGCAGCGGGAGACGGCGGCCAGAGCUCCUCCAGCCCCGAGUCCUCGCUCAGCUGCUCAGGCCUCACCCCAGCAGUGCUUUCCAGGGAGGGAAGAGCCGCAGCCCGGGGUAAUUCCCAUGGCAGGGGGGAGACAGAACGGGCAGACGGGGAUAUUAAUUAAUCAGAACUUCUGCCGUCCGUAACCAAUGGGCGCU